rnacentral:rRNA from 1 species
UACGUAGGGGGCUAGCGUUGUCCGGAAUCAUUGGGCGUAAAGCGCGUGUAGGCGGUCCGGUAAGUCCGCUGUGAAAGUCGAGGGCUCAACCCUCGAAUGCCGGUGGAUACUGUCGGGCUUGAGUACGGGAGAGGCGAGUGGAAUUCCUGGUGUAGCGGUGAAAUGCGCAGAUAUCAGGAGGAACACCGGUGGCGAAGGCGGUCCUCUGGGCAUUACCUGACGCUGAGGAGCGAAAGCGUGGGGAGCGAACAGG